rnacentral:lncRNA from 1 species
CAAAAUUGAAUAAUUGGGGUUCUUUGAUAUGCCGAAUCUAACUGUCAUGACUGUGUAUGUAGAUUCUUAACUUUUGGUCCCGUUUUCAAAUUGGUCUACAUUAAGGUCCAAAGGGUCCAAAAUUAAACUUAGUUUGAUUUUGACAAAAAAUGAAUCAGUUAGGUUCUUUGAUAUGCUGAAUCUAAAAAUGUACUUAGAUUCUUGAUUAAUGGCCCAG